rnacentral:piRNA from 1 species
GUUGAGUAAAUUAUGAAAGGAAG